GAAAGGCCUUCAAGUGUACGAGCUGUCAAGGGGUUUUUGGAAACAAUCCUGACAUGCACAGACUUAGAGAGGAAGAGAUCUGAAGUUCCAGUUAUAGAACAAAUUCAAAAUACUUGGUUUCUCAAUUGCAAACCCAUAUUAGUCAGUCAUAGCAAUUGAUCCAAGGCAUAUACAGGGAAAUAUGAAUGAGGUACCUGCU